rnacentral:lncRNA from 1 species
GGAAAAUGAGGCAAAUGGUGAUGAGGCAGAUUGUGUGUAACUCAGAGAAGCAAAACAAGAGCUCUGGAUAAUGUAAGAAACUGUCUGGGGGAAAGGAACAAAGAUAAGGACUUACUUUACUUUAGAGUUCAAUCAACAACAGGAAAGAAACAAGAUUCAAUGGAAAUGAGACAGACACCGGGGACUUAUUAUUUUCAAAAGUCACAGGAAGGGGAAUAUGAGAAAAAGAGGAGUGGAGUGGAUCAAACUGGAAACUUCUGGGGCCUCACCAAGAGUCUUGGCGUGA